CUUUGCCAAGGCACCUUCUGAUUGGUUUAAUAAAAGACAUAACUGGCCAAUAGCUAGGCAGGGAGAGGUUAGGCAGGAGAGCCAAACUGAGAGGAAGCUGGGAAAGAAGACAGACGGAGUCACAGGAGAUGAAAAUGCCCUGCUGAAAAAGUUAAACUGGAGAAUCCCCUGUGACUUCAGAAGCACCUUUAAAGUAAUGGAAAUUACAAUGUACUCUGGAGAGAGUUAUGAGGAUUUAAUUAAAGUCAGCUUGUCCUACUUUCCAUAGUUUCUCCAGAGCUGAGAAGAGAUGGUGGUGGAGAGUACAUAAGAUACAUUUGAUAUUGAAAAUAUAAAAUUUAAUAGGAACCUCCACAGCUUCUGUUCCAAAUGCCUGUUCAAACUGUAUAGAAGUUCAUGGCAUUGUAUAGACUUCAGGUCUGGUUAUUUGGGCUUUUCUUUUAGGGGAAGAAGGAUCUGUUUCAGCUCAUGAUGGAGAAGGCAAGAGGCUGGAGAUGGAGGGGCUAGGCUGCUUGCCUGAGUCUCUACGGAUCAGCAAGCAGAGCAAGAGUUCCCAUUCUGUACAGAGAAAUUGUCUUUUAAAAGUCAGCUAAAUGAAGAAAGACCACAACAUCUUGAUUUUACUUAAUAAACAGACUGAUGAUAAGAGAAACACUUUUCCUCAUUGUAUGAGUCAUGAAAAAUUUUCAAGAGAUA
rnacentral:lncRNA from 1 species